UACGAAGGGUGCAAGCGUUGCUCGGAAUUAUUGGGCGUAAAGGGGAGGUAGGUGGUCUCGUUUGUCUGAGGUGAAAACCCUAAGCUUAACUUAGGAAGUGCCUCGGAAACGGCGAGACUAGAGUACUGGAGAGGGUAGCGGAAUUCCCGGUGUAGCGGUGAAAUGCGUAGAGAUCGGGAGGAACACCAGAGGCGAAGGCGGCUACCUGGACAGUCACUGACACUCAACUCCGAAAGCGUGGGGAUCAAACAGG
rnacentral:rRNA from 1 species